rnacentral:rRNA from 1 species
UCCGAGUCCUUAACUGACGCUAAUGCUCGAAAGUGUGGGUAUCGAACAGGAUUAGAUACCCUGGUAGUCCGCGCGGUAAACGAUGGAUGCUCGCUGUUGGCGAUAUAGUGUCAGCGGCCAAGCGAAAGCGUUAAGCAUCCCACCUGGGGAGUACGCCGGCAACGGUGAAACUCAAAGGAAUUGACGGGGGCCCGCACAAGCGGAGGAACAUGUGGUUUAAUUCGAUGAUACGCGAGGAACCUUACCCGGGCUUGAACUGCCGCGGAAGGAUUCAGAGAUGUUGACGUCCUUCGGGACCGCUGUGGAGGUGCUGCAUGGUUGUCGUCAGCUCGUGCCGUGAGGUGUCGGCUUAAGUGCCAUAACGAGCGCAACCCCUUUCGCCAGUUGCCAUCAGGUGAAGCUGGGCACUCUGGCGACACUGCCACCGCAAGGUGUGAGGAAGGUGGGGAUGACGUCAAAUCAGCACGGCCCUUACGUCCGGGGCUACACACGUGUUACAAUGGGUGGUACAGAGAGUCGGUCGGAUGCAAAUCCGAUCCAAUCAUGAAAGCCAUCCUCAGUUCGGAUUGGGGUCUGCAACCCGACCCCAUGAAGCUGGAU